rnacentral:misc_RNA from 1 species
GAUGAAGAACGUAGCAAAAUGCGAUAAGUAAUGUGAAUUGCAGAAUUCAGUGAAUCAUCGAAUCUUUGAACGCACAUUGCGCCCGCCAGUAUUCUGGCGGGCAUGCCUGUUCGAGCGUCAUUUCAACCCUCAAGCCCUGGGGUUUGGUGUUGGGGAUCGGCGAGCCUUUCUGGCAAGCCGGCCCCGAAAUCUAGUGGCGGUCUCGCUGCAGCCUCCAUUGCGUAGUAGUAAAACCCUCGCAACUGGAACGCGGCGCGGCCAAGACGUUAAACCCCCAACUUCUGAAUGUUGACCUCGGAUCAGGUAGGAAUACCCGCUGAACUUAAGCAUAUCAAUAAGCGGAGGA